UAAGGUCUCGUAGUGACCUGCGGAGGGAUCAUUACACAAAUAUGAAGGCGGGCUGGAACCUCUCGGGGUUACAGCCUUGCUGAAUUAUUCACCCUUGUCUUUUGCGUACUUCUUGUUUCCUUGGUGGGUUCGCCCACCACUAGGACAAACAUAAACCUUUUGUAAUUGCAAUCAGCGUCAGUAACAAAUUAAUAAUUACAACUUUCAACAACGGAUCUCUUGGUUCUGGCAUCGAUGAAGAACGCAGCGAAAUGCGAUAAGUAGUGUGAAUUGCAGAAUUCAGUGAAUCAUCGAAUCUUUGAACGCACAUUGCGCCCUUUGGUAUUCCAAAGGGCAUGCCUGUUCGAGCGUCAUUUGUACCCUCAAGCUUUGCUUGGUGUUGGGCGUCUUGUCUCUAGCUUUGCUGGAGACUCGCCUUAAAGUAAUUGGCAGCCGGCCUACUGGUUUCGGAGCGCAGCACAAGUCGCACUCUCUAUCAGCAAAGGUCUAGCAUCCAUUAAGCCUUUUUUUCAACUUUUGACCUCGGAUCAGGUAGGGAUACCCGCUGAACUUAA
rnacentral:rRNA from 1 species